rnacentral:rRNA from 1 species
AGUGGCGCACGGGUGAGUAACACGUAGCUAACCUGCCCUCGAGCGGGGGAUAACCUGGGGAAACCCGGGCUAAUACCGCAUGACAUCCCGAUGGCGCAAGCCAAUGGGAUCAAAGGCCCGCAAGGGUCACUCGGGGAGGGGGCUGCGGCCGAUUAGCUAGUUGGUGAGGUAACGGCCCACCAAGGCAAUGAUCGGUAGCCGGCCUGAGAGGGCGCACGGCCACACUGGCACUGAAACACGGGCCAGACUCCUACGGGAGGCAGCAGUGGGGAAUUUUGCACAAUGCCCGAAAGGGUGAUGCAGCAACGCCGCGUGAGGGAUGAAGGCCUUCGGGUCGUAAACCUCUUUCGACCGGGAAAAAUGGGCGGGUGAAUAAUCCGCUCUGAUGGUACCGGUGGAAGAAGCCCCGGCUAACUACGUGCCAGCAGCCGCGGUAAUACGUAGGGGGCGAGCGUUGUUCGGAAUUACUGGGCGUAAAGGGCGUGUAGGCGGUGCGAUAAGUCGGGCGUGAAAUCCCCAGGCUCAACUUGGGGCGGCCGCUCGA